rnacentral:rRNA from 1 species
GGACUACUGGGGUUUCUAAUCCCGUUCGCUCCCCUGGCUUUCGCACCUGAGCGUCAGGAGUUUCCCAGGAGACUGCCUUCGCCUUUGGUGUUCCUCCGGAUAUCUACGCAUUUCACCACUCCACCCGGAAUUCCGUCUCCCUCUGAAACCCUCAAGUCACACCGUUUUCCGGGCACUUUCCCAGUUGAGCUGGGAACUGUCACCCGAAACGUAUGUGACCGCCUGCGUGCCCUUUAGGCCCAGUAACUCCGGACAACGCUUGCCUCCUACGUAUUACCGCGGCUGCUGGCAC